rnacentral:rRNA from 1 species
UACGUAGGGAGCGAGCGUUGCCCGGAAUCAUUGGGCGUAAAGAGCGCGUAGGUGGAUCAAUAAGUCUGCUGUGAAAGUCAAAGGCUCAACCUUUGAAAGCCGGUGGAUACUGUUGAUCUAGAGUACGGAAGAGGCGAGUGGAAUUCCUGGUGUAGCGGUGGAAUGCGCAGAUAUCAGGAGGAACACCAAUAGCGAAGGCAGCUCGCUGGGACGUUACUGACACUGAGGCGCGAAAGCGUGGGGAGCAAACAGG